UACGAAGGGUGCAAGCGUUGUUCGGAAUUACUGGGCGUAAAGCGCUCGUAGGCGGAUUUGUAAGUCAAUUGUGAAAUCCCUGGGCUCAACCCCGGGCCUGCAGCCGAUACGGGCAGACUAGAGUUCGGCAGGGGAGACUGGAAUUCCUGGUGUAGCGGUGAAAUGCGCAGAUAUCAGGAGGAACACCGGUGGCGAAGGCGGGUCUCUGGGCCGAUACUGACGCUGAGGAGCGAAAGCGUGGGGAGCGAACAGG
rnacentral:rRNA from 1 species